UGCAAACAAGCUCAGUUGGUUGAGCAUGAGACUCUGAAUUUCAGGGUCAUUCGUUCAAGUCCCACAUUGGGCAA